AGCGAACGCUGGCGGCAGGCCUAACACAUGCAAGUCGAACGAACUCUUCGGAGUUAGUGGCGGACGGGUGAGUAACACGUGGGAACGUGCCUUUAGGUUCGGAAUAACUCAGGGAAACUUGUGCUAAUACCGAAUGUGCCCUUCGGGGAAAGAUUUAUCGCCUUUAGAGCGGCCCGCGUCUGAUUAGCUAGUUGGUGAGGUAAAGGCUCACCAAGGCUACGAUCAGUAGCUGGCCUGAGAGGAUGACCAGCCACAUUGGGACUGAGACACGGCCCAAACUCCUACGGGAGGCAGCAGUGGGGAAUCUUGCGCAAUGGGCGAAAGCCUGACGCAGCCAUGCCGCGUGGAUGAUGAAGGUCUUAGGAUUGUAAAAUCCUUUCACCGGUGAAGAUAAUGACUGUAGCCGGAGAAGAAGCCCCGGCUAACUUCGUG
rnacentral:rRNA from 1 species